CUACGGGGUGCAGCAGGCGCGAAACCUUUACACUGUACGGAAGUGCGAUAAGGGGAUUCCCAGUGCUCAUGCAUUGCAUGGGCUUUUGCUAAGUGUAAAUAACUUGGCGAAUAAGUGGUGGGUAAGACGGGUGCCAGCCGCCGCGGUAACACCUGCGCCACGAGGUGCAAUCAUGUUUAUUGGGCCUAAAGCGUUCGUAGCCGGAUAAAUAAGUCUUGGGUGAAAUCGUUGCGCUUAACAAAACGAAUUGCUUGAGAUACUGUUUAUCUAGGGACCGGGAGGCGUUAAGGGUAUUUCUGAGGGAGCGGUAAAAUGUUGUAAUCUCAGGAGGACCACCUGUGGCGAAGGCGCUUAACGAGAACGGGUCCGACGGUGAGGAACGAAAGCUAGGGGAGCAAAACGGAUUAGAUACCCCAGUAGUC
rnacentral:rRNA from 1 species